GAUGAACGCUGGCGGCGUGCCUAAUACAUGCAAGUCGAGCGAACGGACGAGAAGCUUGCUUCUCUGAUGUUAGCGGCGGACGGGUGAGUAACACGUGGAUAACCUACCUAUAAGACUGGGAUAACUUCGGGAAACCGGAGCUAAUACCGGAUAAUAUUUUGAACCGCAUGGUUCAAAAGUGAAAGACGGUCUUGCUGUCACUUAUAGAUGGAUCCGCGCUGCAUUAGCUAGUUGGUAAGGUAACGGCUUACCAAGGCAACGAUGCAUAGCCGACCUGAGAGGGUGAUCGGCCACACUGGAACUGAGACACGGUCCAGACUCCUACGGGAGGCAGCAGUAGGGAAUCUUCCGCAAUGGGCGAAAGCCUGACGGAGCAACGCCGCGUGAGUGAUGAAGGUCUUCGGAUCGUAAAACUCUGUUAUUAGGGAAGAACAUAUGUGUAAGUAACUGUGCACAUCUUGACGGUACCUAAUCAGAAAGCCACGGCUAACUACGUGCCAACAGCCGCGGUAAUACGUAGGUGGCAAGCGUUAUCCGGAAUUAUUGGGCGUAAAGCGCGCGUAGGCGGUUUUUUAAGUCUGAUGUGAAAGCCCACGGCUCAACCGUGGAGGGUCAUUGGAAACUGGAAAACUUGAGUGCAGAAGAGGAAAGUGGAAUUCCAUGUGUAGCGGUGAAAUGCGCAGAGAUAUGGAGGAACACCAGUGGCGAAGGCGACUUUCUGGUCUGUAACUGACGCUGAUGUGCGAAAGCGUGGGGAUCAAACAGGAUUAGAUACCCUGGUAGUCCACGCCGUAAACGAUGAGUGCUAAGUGUUAGGGGGUUUCCGCCCCUUAGUGCUGCAGCUAACGCAUUAAGCACUCCGCCUGGGGAGUACGACCGCAAGGUUGAAACUCAAAGGAAUUGACGGGGACCCGCACAAGCGGUGGAGCAUGUGGUUUAAUUCGAAGCAACGCGAAGAACCUUACCAAAUCUUGACAUCCUUUGACAACUCUAGAGAUAGAGCCUUCCCCUUCGGGGGACAAAGUGACAGGUGGUGCAUGGUUGUCGUCAGCUCGUGUCGUGAGAUGUUGGGUUAAGUCCCGCAACGAGCGCAACCCUUAAGCUUAGUUGCCAUCAUUAAGUUGGGCACUCUAAGUUGACUGCCGGUGACAAACCGGAGGAAGGUGGGGAUGACGUCAAAUCAUCAUGCCCCUUAUGAUUUGGGCUACACACGUGCUACAAUGGACAAUACAAAGGGCAGCGAAACCGCGAGGUCAAGCAAAUCCCAUAAAGUUGUUCUCAGUUCGGAUUGUAGUCUGCAACUCGACUACAUGACGCUGGAAUCGCUAGUAAUCGUAGAUCAGCAUGCUACGGUGAAUACGUUCCCGGGUCU
rnacentral:rRNA from 1 species